AUGGAUGCCUUCAUAUUCCUGCCCCCCAUGUCAGGGUCAGUCGGGGUUACUCCUAUUUCACAGAUGAAGAGACUGAGGCCCACGAAACACAUUGCCCCAAGUUGCCUAAGUCAAAUUGGGAGUGUCUUGGCUUUGACACUCCUGAUCCCCACACCCCUACCACGCAUGCUCACCCAAGUCUUCUUUCUAGGGCACCUCAGACAGAGAAUGACUCCGGCCGGAAUUCCAGAAUGGAUGCCUCUGGCUGCUGAGUGGAGAGUCAAAGGGAGAAGGGGAGGCCGAGGUGGCAAGAAGGUGCCCAGGUGGGAGGCACUCCAAAGCGGCUUCGUUCUGAAUGGGACCGGAAGCUGGAACCAGGCAUUGCUGGCAGGUGGCACACGGUCUGUGUGUGUAUCCCGGGGAACGGUGGAUGGCAGAGCCUUCUGGAAGCCCGGGCCCGGAGAUUGCCUCGUCUCUGACUUUCACCAGCAGCUCCUGCCCCGCCUUGUACCCCAGAUAGAUUUGGGUGAUGGAUUUUCCCAAGAGCCUCAGCUGGGUACCUUCAUGGUCUCUGCCAGAAGUGGCCUGUGGAGUUAGAGACUCUCCCCUCGCCCCAAGAAAUGAGGAGGAUCCAAAAACAACCUCCUCACUGGUGUCCCGAUUGCAUACUCCCCCCGCCCCUCAAGCCCCACCAUCCUCUCUCCACCAGACUGGCCUCUUAAAACACGUACAUCAGACCUUGGCGCCUCCCUUCUUAGCACCCUCCGGGGAUUUCCUAUUGGCAGAACAAAUGCCGGCUUUUUACCAAGGUCGGCGAGGCCACCGGCUGGACCACUGUUCCCCAUCUUCGCUGUUUCCCCUCUAGCCAAGGUGGCCCCCGGGCCUUUAUAUAUGCUGUUCUCUCUUCCUGGAACAGCAAAUCCCCAAAUCUUCAACUUGCUGCCCCCAUCUAGUGGCUCUCACAGGGGCCCUGGCCUUAUCUGAAAGAGCCCUCACUUCUUACUCUCUACGCCCAAGCUUCUGUUGUUCACAAAUUAUUUCUACUUGUCUACUUAUCUGUCUCCCCACUAGCAUGUAAAUUCCUUGUGGACAGGGACCUUGCAUGGGUCAUUGCUGUGCCUCCCACACCCAAAGAAAAGAAAAUGCCCUUGCACUUUAAAUACUGCUCUGUGGGCUCCCAAGGAUGGGGGCCAGAAUAGCUUACUUAUUUAUCAAAUGCUAUCUAGGGCUUGGGACAUGCGAGACACUUUCUGAACUAUUGGGCAGACAUGAAUUCACCGAAUCCUCACACCAGCUUGUUAGGUCCAUCCUCCUGUCAGCCUCACUGCCAAUGAGGAAGCUGUGGCCCGGAAAUGGUAGGAUAUUGUCUCGGGUGCACAUGGUCACAAGAGAUGGCUGGCAGGAUUAGAACCCGAGGAGCCUGGUCCAUGCCCUCAACAGGUGUACCCCACCUGCCUCUCCCCUUAGCACCACCCGAGGACCAGGCAUUGGACAGGGAGGCUGGGGUGGGGUAGGGCUAGGGUCACACUACCAAGGUCUUUAGCCUUGAAAUCAGGAAAUUAAAUCCUGUUUUGACCCCAGGCCUUGCACAAGUCGAAAGUGGGCUCCCUCUGUGGGUAUCAACUUCUUCUCUAUUUACAGGGCUGUGGCCAGUCUUCCUGGCUUCAUUCAUGUCCUCCGACAGGCCUGGUGAAGCAAAAAGGGUUAUUGCUUAUUUCCAAGCCCCCGUCCCUCCAGUUAGCAGAGGGUCUUGGACUCCUGGACUGCCCACCUUUGCCAGGUGGCCAGGACAUUCCCACUCCCUAUCACUGACCUGCCUACUGAUGGGAACACAGUGUCCCUCAAGGAAAAAAGAGAAACAGAGACAGAGAGUUGGAGAGAGGGAGUGAGUGGCUGCUUUUUCACCAGGAGGCUCUGUCCUCUGUCUCCAGGCUGCUUGCCCGGUUGGCCUUUCCCCCAUCUUCCCCCCUGCCUGUCAUUUUCCUGGAGUCCAGGCCUUCAAGCCCCAUCUCUCCCCCACACCCCUGCCUGGGCCUUCCCCA
rnacentral:lncRNA from 1 species